GCGCCUGGCAUUCCAGGGGGAGGGAAGCACAGCGGAAUCCCAAGCUCCAGAACCAUCUGGUGACUGUCUCCGGAUGACCAUGGCCCUACCAUCCCUGGGCCAAGACCCCUGGAGUCUCCUGAGUGUUUUUUUCUUCCAACUGUUCCUGCUGCUGUCACUGCCACCAGCUUCCGGGACUGGUGGGCAGGGACCCGUGCCCAGAGUCAAGUACCAUGCGGGAGAUGGGCACAGGGCCCUCAGCUUCUUUCAACAAAAAGGCCUCCGGGACUUUGACACCCUGCUCCUGAGUGGAGAUGGCAACACUCUGUAUGUGGGGGCUCGGGAGGCCAUCUUGGCCCUGAAUAUCGAGAAUCCAGGAAUCCCAAGGCUGAGGAACAUGAUACCCUGGCCAGCCAGUGAGAAAAAAAAGAACGAAUGUGCCUUUAAGAAGAAAAGCAAUGAGACACAGUGUUUCAACUUCAUUCGUGUGCUGGUCUCUUACAAUGCCACUCACCUCUAUGCCUGCGGGACUUUUGCCUUCAGCCCCGCCUGCACCUUCAUUGAACUCCAAGAUUCCUUCCUGUUGCCCAU
rnacentral:lncRNA from 1 species